GAUGCUCAUAUUCGCGUAAAUCAAUGAAAUCCCCUCUUUUGAAAUAGACUUUUACAAGCACAAGUCCUUCGUCGUGUUUGCAGAGAAUUGAUUUCAAAAAGCGACCUCUACCUACAACUUCUUUCAGCACCAGAUUAUACGAAGACGGCAAGUCGUGGAGGUAAUACUCCAUUGCCGACGCUUGUGUCGUUUUUGCGAUCUUAUUCCCCAUUUUAACACUCUUUCUUCCUCCUUUCGACGAUUUUCGAGAUGUCUUUAGCUCCUUUCCAUUAGUUUAGGCUUCAAUCGGAGUGAU
rnacentral:misc_RNA from 1 species